UGGGGAAUAUUGGACAAUGGAGGCAACUCUGAUCCAGCAAUUCUGUGUGUGUGAAGAAGGUUUUAGGACUGUAAAACACUUUUAGUAGGGAAGAAAGAAAUGACGGUACCUACAGAAGAAGCGACGGCUAAAUACGUGCCAGCAGCCGCGGUAAUACGUAUGUCGCGAGCGUUAUCCGGAAUUAUUGGGCUUAAAGGGCAUCUAGGCGGUUAAACAAGUUAAAGGUGAAAACCUGUGGCUCAACCAUAGGCUUGCCUACAAAACUGUAUAACUAGAGUACUGGAAAGGUGGGUGGAACUACACGAGUAGAGGUGAAAUUCGUAGAUAUGUGUAGGAAUGCCGAUGAUGAAGAUAACUCACUGGACAGCAACUGACGCUGAAGUGCGAAAGCUAGGGGAGCAAACAGG
rnacentral:rRNA from 1 species